CCUCAUAAGACUGCAUAUACUCAGUAACAAUAUGUAAAAACAUAUAAAUCCGGACUUUAGUGAUAACAAACCGUACGUUUGAAUUCACAUGUUUUAUUAUGGGCUACUGCCUACUAUGGCACAUUGACAGUUGACUUGUAUUCAACGUAUUCUGUGGUGUACUACAUAAUAUUCUUUUGUCGUUGGCUGAAAAUUAAAAUCGUUAUUAAAAAUUUCUCUUGCAACUUACAAGUUUCAAGUUCGAUACAAAUUCGUGCUGCGUGUAGCUGUUAAAAAUAUUACACUGUUGGCUUGAGAACAAUCUAUUAUUAUACAAAAUACACCGAAUAUUAAUCAGGAAUGGAUGUUAACGGCGAUUGCGGUGAGUCCAUAAUUCAGGAUGUGCUCGAUAACCAACCGGCCGAAUGGGAACUUUUGCCAAUCGAUAGGUACACGACCAACUGUAUACUGUUCCCGUUGAACAAAAACAAUUCUGAAUACAAAUACAUAGAAUCACUUUUCUAUGGCCAUUUUCACAUUAAAUCCAUACAAAGAGUACAAAACCCAUACCAAUACGGCCGAUACUUACUACGAAAACAAUUGCUUCAUGUAAACUACGAGGAAACUGUUUUUCACGCCGUUCAUAAAGUUGACCAAAAAACAGCUUUAAAAUUUACUUGCGACUUCAGAAGAUACAUGAGACCGUUUGAGUAUGUAGAGCACGACAAAUUUCCACGUUUCUACGAUUCAUUUAAUAGUUUAGUACAAAAUAUUGAUACAUUUUACUUUGAUUCAAACGAGUUGUGUGUGUUUGUGUUGAACAAAUUAUCAUAUAAUUUGACAUCACAAGGUGAUUAUUAUAUUAAAUAUGUCGUUGACUUCCUAUGAAGUUUAUUGAAACUACACAAAAAAGAUAUUAUUAUUUGUUUUG